CCGCACUGGGACUGGGCAGUGAGUUUGGGACUGUGUGAAGAGAAAGGAAACUUCGGCCACUUGGGGCCAGAUGACUUCACCAGAGUGGAAAGUGGCAGGCCAGGCAGCCGGGGGAGGGAACACUUCCUGGAGAUGGGGCUCUGGAAGACCUUGGCUCCUUCAUUAAACUAAAAUAGGACUUGAGAUUGCUGCAGCACACAUUCCUGAACAUACGUCACUGUGUGUGUGAGAAAGAGAUACAGAAAGAGACAGAAUGAAAGAGUGUGGAGCUGCAGAGAGCAUGUUAGGAUAUUGGAAUGUCUACUUCCCUUCUUCACAUUCGUGCAUCUGUUCACUUGCUAAUAGGUAUAACUGGUUUUGUCAACUCUCUGACUGAUGGAAGAAAUGGACCAGUGACACCAUUGUAUAUGCUAUUUGCCUCAGUUCCUCUGACAACAUGAGUAAUCAGGGUGCUGUCAGGAGCAGAAAACACACCAGUUAUUCAAAUAAGAGGAUUUAAUACAGAGAAUUGUUGACUGGUAUAAAGUUUUCCACUAGAAAAGAGUCAAAGAGAGGACCCUAAGAUAACACGGAGGUUACAACGUCAGGAGGCAGCUACCCACUUCGGGGCUGGUGCAACAAAGUGAUCUAUUAAAGCUCAGAAACUUGGAGGAGGGGCCCAGAAAACUGGAGAGGGGACUUAGCUCAGCUAAUGCUGAUGUGUCUGAGCUCAGAGAAGGGGACUCAGACCUCUGCAAAGGGGGCACAACCUGCUGGCGCUGGUGUCUCUAAGAGAGGAGGGGAGUUGCAACAAGGCUGCUUCUGUAUUGAAGAAACUUCAGGCUGGCUUCAGUUGCUGCAAUUCCAGAGUGAAGAGGGAGGUUGAUGUGAUUCUGGAAGGAACCAAAGACCCCGACAAGCAGGCAGGAAGGAAUCUCUCCCUCCAGGCCUGCAGCCUCCGUCCUAUGGGCAGAGCCAGGUGGGUAAAAGACAUGGGACUGGCAGCCUCCCAGUACCAGAGCAGAGGAGGAGUUAAUAACCAGCCCUGCUGGUGAGAAGAGAACCCAGGACUGGCUUCCCUGAGAGUUCUAGCCCAGGGCUGUCUCUGGUGCAUUUCAGCUCACAAGGACUGAAUACUUUCUCUUACCUGGAGAAGCAGAGACCACGCUCUUGCAGCCUGGUCGGGGAGCUUACGUGAUGCCAGCAGUGAAUGUGAAAUGUUCCCUCUGCAGCUCACACAGCCCCGCCCUGUUAAUUUCUUCCCAUGUUUUAGAAGAAACAAUCAGGAAAGCCCCUCCGAGGAGGUGGCCUUUGAGAAGUCAGGGGAAGAGAGUUCUAGGCCGUACAUGUUCGUACCCUGAAGUUGGAACCUGCCUGCCCUUUGCGGGGAAGAUCGUCCCUGUCUGGGGCAGUGACCAAGAGAGGAAUGAUGGAAGUUAGAGAUGUUGGCAGGACUCAACACUGGCAGAGCCAGAUGGGACUAGUGAAAGAGUUUGGAUUUUAUUCCAGGAGUGAUAAGAAACCCAUGGAAGAGUUUUAGGCACAGAAUAUAGGAGAUCUGAUUUGUGCUAAAAAACAAAUCGAAAACAAACAAAAAACUUUGGUUGUUCCAUGGAGAGCAGCAAGAAUGGAAACAGAAAGACCAGAGUGUGCCCGGAGGUGUGUGGACGUCACAUAAAUUCUUUCACUCAAUUCUCUCAACAACCCCAUGAGAGCUGUUAUUGCCCUUGCUUUACAGAUGAGGAAAGUGGGACUCAGAAAGUCAUCCAGCUUGUCAGAGAAAGUGGGUUACAGUGACAGCCAACCUCUCAACAUCAUGAAGGUGGUUGACUUCAUAAAUGGUGCUGUGUACUUUCUCCUGCACCAUCACAGGAGGCAGAUAAUGUCUGGUUCAGGCAAAUACCUAGGAGUGGAACUGCUGAGUCAUAUAGUAGAUGGAUAUUCACCUUUACGAGAAGCCAGUUUUCCAAAGAGGCUCUACCACUUUGCAUGCCUACUGAGAAAAUCCUCCCUAACAUUUGACAUUUUAAGUCUUUUAAUCUAAUGAAUAAAAUGUGGUGU